rnacentral:sRNA from 1 species
AUAACAUACUUACUCAAGAUAGGCAACAAGAAGUAGAGCAAAUCGAUCUUCACAACGAACUUCAAGAUCUCAGGAGCUAGCAGAAAAGAGAAAACACAUGAUCGCAUUAAAUAUAAAACAAUUUAUGAUACGAGAUAGCUGCAAUUGAAAAAGGGAUUGUGACACGUUUAGGCACUUUUAAAGAAUUUUAUUCCUUUUGAGGCACUUGUGAGGGAUAAGGCACUUUUCCAACUUUUUCAUUAAACUUUUGACCAAUUUGCCCCUGAAAAUUAAGAAAUUAUUAUUUAAAAAAAAGUUUCAUCUCUCCACAUUCCUUUUUUUUUUCUUUCUUCUUCCUCGCUUCUUCUUUUCACUCGCUCUCUCUCUUCUCAUUAUUACUUUUUUCUUUCCUUGCAAAAUCAACCAUUUGAGAGUUUGUCAAAAUCGUGUAGCUUCUAUAUUUUUCUCUACGGAGAAACCUUUCUAGAUUUAUGUGACGAUUGCUUGUUCGAUUGAAGUUCUGAAGUUUUGGAGCGUUAGCGCAUGUAACGAAUGGCGGAAGCUCAGGUUUUGCAACCAGUAACAUCUAGAGGUGAAAAAUAAGAAGAUUUGUUCCCUCAAUUUUACAACCAAUCGAUCAAGGUAUUGCUUUCGCCCCGACGAUUCCUCAAUUUUGUGAACAUAAUUUUAAGUUUUGCUAGAUUAUGUUGUACUUGUUUCAUAUU